rnacentral:rRNA from 1 species
CUUUUGAAUUUAAUUUAAGGUCUAACCUGCCCACUGAAUUUUUAAAUGGCCGCAGUAUUCUAACUGUGCAAAGGUAGCAUAAUCAUUAGUCUUUUAAUUGAAGGCUGGAAUGAAUGGUUGAAUGAAAUAUUAACUGUUUCAAUUUAAUUUAUUAUAGAAUUUUAUUUUUUAGUCAAAAAGCUAAAAUAUGAUUAAAAGACGAGAAGACCCUAUAAAUCUUUAUAAUUAGUUUUUUAAAAAUAUAUAGAUAAUUUAAUUUAUAAAAAAUUUAAUUAUUUUAUUGGGGUGAUAUUAAAAUUUAAUAAACUUUUAAUUUAUAGAUUACAUAAAUUAAUGAAUUAUUGAUCCAUUUUUAUGAUUAUAAAAUUAAGUUACUUUAGGGAUAACAGCGUAAUUUUUUUAGAGAGUUCAUAUUGAUAAAAA